UACGGAGGGUGCGAGCGUUGUCCGGAAUCACUGGGCGUAAAGGGCGCGUAGGCGGCGCGAGCAGUCGGCGGUGAAAGCCCGGAGCUCAACUCCGGGUCGGCCGUCGAUACUCUCGUGCUCGAGCACUGUAGAGGCAGAUGGAAUUCCGGGUGUAGCGGUGGAAUGCGUAGAGAUCCGGAAGAACACCGGUGGCGAAGGCGGUCUGCUGGGGUCGAACUGACGCUGAGGCGCGACAGCGUGGGGAGCAAACAGG
rnacentral:rRNA from 1 species